rnacentral:rRNA from 1 species
UACAGAGGUGGCAAGCGUUGUUCGGAAUUACUGGGCGUAAAGCGCGUGUAGGCGGCUCUUCAAGUCAGGCGUGAAAGCCCCGGGCUCAACUCGGGAACUGCGCUUGAUACUGUCGAGCUAGAGUGUGGAAGGGGCGAUUGGAAUUCCGUGUGUAGCGGUGAAAUGCGUAGAUAUACGGAGGAACACCAGAGGCGAAGGCGGAUCGCUGGGCCAACACUGACACUGAGGAGCGAAAGCGUGGGGAGCGAACAGG